GUUGGAUUGUUCACCACUAAUAGGGAACGUGAGCUGGGUUUAGACCGUCGUGAGACAGGUUAGUUUUACCCUACUGAUGAAGUGUUGUUGCAAUAGUAAUUCUGCUCAGUACGAGAGGAACCGCAGAUUCAGACAAUUGGCAUUUGCACUUGGCUGAAAAGCCAAUGGUGCGAAGCUACCAUCUGUUGGAUUAUGACUGAACGCCUCUAAGUCAGAAUCCUUGCUAGAACGCAACGAUAAUUACCUCCGGAGAAUCUUAGGCGAACAAGGAUAGAGAACGGGCUCGCUCGCUCUCCUGCGUCCCAAUGUGCCAAGAGGGAAAACAACCCUCAAGGCACUAAAGUAUAUCAAAUUUUAAAAUUUCUGGAGAUAAAUCCUUUGCAGACGACUUAAAUAAAGAACGGGGUAUUGUACGUUGUAGAGUAGCCUUGUUGCUACGAUCUUCUGAGAUUAAGCCUUUGUUCUACGAUUUGU
rnacentral:ncRNA from 1 species